rnacentral:lncRNA from 1 species
UCAAUGAUGAGAACCUUAUAUUGUCCUGAAGAGAGGUGAUGACUUAAAAAUCAUGCUCAAUAGGAUUACGCUGAGGCCCAACCUAGGGGAGAAUUUUGGAAGAGGAUUAUGGGAUCCCAAGGUCCCCAACAAGGCCACUGCAUUUUGGGCUAGAGACCUGGAGGCUCUUAAGAGCAUCUGGAGGUGGCCCAACCUGUCUCUGCUCCUUCGUGAUGCAGCCCAGGCUCCCUGUGUGGGAUUGGUGUUGGUGCUCCAUUUCCCUGGCAUGGGGAAUGUUGGUGGCUCCUUCCUGAGCUCCUGUUCUCGCCUUGUGUCUUUCAGUGAGCUCUGCCACCCAGGACAUCCCCCUGGCAUUGACUGGCAUAGAUGCUGACCCUGGAGGAAGACUUGUGUCGGGCCCCCAGGCCCCAGGCCAGUGUCCAUCAGCCAGGUGCUCAGCUCCCAGUGCGCUGAAGCUCAGACCCUUCCUGGCACCCUGGUGUCCAGCACUGAGCUGUGUGAGCUUUUCCACCCAGGUGGGCCCCCUGGCAUUGACCGACAUAGAUGAUGAGACUGGAGGAAGACUUCCAUUGGGCCCACUUUUCCUGGGCCAGUGUCCAUCAGCCAGGUGCUCAGCCCCUGGUGUACUGAAGCUCCAGCCUUUCCUGGUGCCCCAGUCUUCUGCACUAAGCUGUGUGAGCUCUUCCACCCAGGAGGGCCCCUUGGCAUUGACUGGCAUAGAUGGUGAGACGGGAGGAAGACUUGUGUUGGGCCUGCUGUUCCUGGGCCAGUGGCCAUCAGCCUGUUGCCCAGCCCCUGAGGCGCUGAAGCUCAGGCCCUUCCUCACACCCUGGUCUCCUGCACUAGCUGUGUGAGCUCUUCUGCCCAGGUGGGGCCCAUGGCCUUACACGACAUAGGAGCACGCAUUUCUUGAAGUCCUGCAAAGGUGAUGGUGGUCCAGACAGGAGAGGGUUCCUUCAGCCCAACAUAGCGCAGCUCCCAGCUGAAACUCGGAAGGCUGGUCAGGCCUCGAGGACUGCCCAGGCCACAUGAGGGUUUGGUGGCCGGGAGGGCCAAUGAUGCUCUGCGUCUGUGUUGGAUCAGUGUUCUUCAUGGAUUCCAUCACAUGGUGAGCCUUGAGGAAGACUUGUAUUGGGCCCCCACAGGCCCCAGGCCAGUGUCCGUCAGCCUGGUGCUCACCCCCAGUGUGCUGAAGCUCAGACCCUCCGUGGCACCCUGGUCUCCUGCACUGAGCUGUGUGAACUUUUCCUCCCAGAUGGGCCCCCUGGCAUUGACUGGCAUAGAUGGUGAGACCGGAGGAAGACUUGCAUUGGGCCUGUUGUUCCUGGGCCAGUGGCCAUCAGCCUGUUGCCCAGCCCCUGAUGCGCUGAAGCUCGGGCCCUUCCUCGCGCCCUGGUCUCCUGCACUGAGCUGUGUGAGCUCUUCUGCCCAGGUGAGGCCCAUGGCCUUAAGCGGCAUAGAUGGUGAGCCUGGAGGAAGACUUGUAUUGGGACCCUACAGGCCCCAGGCCAGUGUCUGUCAGCCUGGUGCUCAUCCCCCAGUGCGCUGAAGCUCAGACCCUCCCUGGCACCCUGGUCUCCUGCACUGAGCUGUGAUGGUGAGUCUGGAGGAAGACUUGUGUUGGACCCCCACAGGCCCCAGGCCAGUGUCCAUCAGCCUGGUGCUAAUCCCCCAGUGCUCUGGAGUUUGGACCCUCCCUGGCACCCUGGUCUCCUGCACUGAGCUGUGUGAGCUCUUCCACCCGGGCGGGCCCCCGGCAUUGACUGGCAUAGGUGGUGAGCCCGGAGGAGGACUUGCGUUCGGCCCGCUGGUCCCAGUGUGUCCGGAAUUGGUGGGUUCUUGGUCUCACUGACUUCAAGAAUGAAGCUGCGGACCCUCGCUAUGAUGAUAUGGAAGAAAAGCACUCUUUGGCCUGUUGUGACUGGGACAGUUGACAGCACCCAGGUGUCCUUUAAUGAAAAUGCUCUUGACACCAAUGCAUCCUAGCAUCACAGCUUCAGGAAGCCUUCUCAAGUGUGCAUGGGGAGUACUAUGUCUUUCAUCAAUAAUGAAAUCUUCUGAUUUGUAAGACAUGCUGCCAAGAGAUGUGCCAUUCUAUUAUAAAAGAUCAGUAGCUUCCUUUACCGACGUGUAUAUUCUAUCUAGAACAUUGAGCUAUGGAAGACUCCCACCUAAGGGAAUUAGUUUUACACCUUCAGAUAAAGACUGCUGAGAAGAGCACCCUCUGGUGUUGUCACAGAGGCAAGUGCUACCGCACAGGCAUGCUGCAGUGAAUUUAACUGAUCCUCUGUCCCUGCAACCGUUGUUUAAGGAUGCUAUUCUGAAAAGACUGUGGAGGAAGAAAACCCUUUACCCUGUUGUUCAGGGAGAAACUGACACCACUCAACUGCCUGGCACUGAAAAUGUGGCAUCCAGUCCACUUUACCAUCAGUGUUUAAGGAAACCAUCUCUGAUAAGGAUGACUGAGGAAGAGUACUCUUUGGCUUGUUGACACCAGCACAGCUGACACACCCAGAUAUCUGUUUGGUCUCCUGUGAACUUUCAACCAGGAUUUAAGGAUGCCACUCUGGUUAAAAGCUGAAACAACUUCAAGGAAACUUCAGGGAAAAGAGAAGGCCUGGAAUCUGAUCCUCCACUUCAGAGAACAGGGGUGGUGGAGUCUAUGGCCCUUCUCCUUGAAUCUGAGUGAAAUUAGUGAGUCUUUCAAUCCAAAGACUACAGUCAUACCUCAACUAUCUACAGAGGACUGGUUCCAGGACUCCCAUGGAUCCCAAAAUCCAAGGAUGCUUCGAAUCCCUUAUAUAAAAUGGCAUGGUAUUUGCAUAUAACCUACAUGCAUCUUCAAAUAUGUUAAACCAUCUCUAGAUUACUUAUAAUACCAAAUACAAUGUAAUGCUAUGUAAACAGUUGUUACAAUGUAUUGUCAAAGACAAGCUCUCCUUGCCAAUCCCUGACCAAAUGAGAGAUUCAUGAGCAAAAUAAAUAGUUGCUGAUAUUUAAGGCACUAAGUUUGGGGCAAUGUAUUACACAGCAAUAAAUAACUGGAACAGCAUAGUAAAUUCUAGUUAAAAAUACUAAACUACUAAGUUUUAGUUAACAUACAUGCUCAAGUUAAGGGUGUGGUAUACUAACAACUGCAACUUACUUUGAAAAGCAUAAAAAAAGACACUAGAAGAAGACAGGAUGGAUAGAUGGACAAGAUAGAAGACAAUAACAAAUAGAACAAAAUGUUGUGAAAUUAUAUUCUACAAUUAUUUUAAAGUCUGUGUGGUUUGAAAAAUUGUACGAUAAAAUGAAGAGUGAAAUAAAGACAUUUCCAUACAAACAAAAGCUGAAAGAUUUUGUAGCCAGUAGACCUAUACUUUAGAAAUGUUUAAGAAAUUUUUUCAAGUAAAAGGAAAAUAACACCAGCAACAAACUUGGAUCUACAAAAAGGAAUCUCCACAAAGAAAAAUAAAUAAAAAUGGUAAAUAUGAAGGUAAAUAUAAAGGAAUGUUAUUCUUAGUUUUUAAGUUUCUUCGUAAGACAACUGGCCUUUGAAAGAAAUAGUUUCAAACGCUGCUGUGGAAUCUAUAACACAUAUAGAAGUAAAAUGUUAAGAUCAUAAUACCAAAAAGAAUGAGGGAGAGUAAAUGGAUGUAUACUAUUCCAAAAUUCUUACAUUAUACAUUAAGAGGAAUAAUAUUUUUGAAGGUAGAUUGAGGUAAGUUAAAGGUGCAUAUUGUAAAUCCUAGAAGUAUCACUGGGGGGAAAAAAAACAGAGGGACAAGCUAAUAAUGGAGACAAUACAAAAUUCCAAAAAUGCUCCAUUAACCGAAAAGAAGGCAGAAAAGGAAGAAAAGAUUAGACAAAUAGAAAACAAAUAGUGUCUUAAACACAAUUAUAUUGCCAACUGCAAUAAAUGUAAAUGGACUUAAUCAAAAAGCAACGAUCGUAAAAAGUCAAUCUGAAAGCAAGAUGCAACUAUAUGCUAUCUAAAAGAAAGACAUUAAAUGACCAAUAAGCUGAAAAUAAAAACACAGCAAAAUGAUAUAAUGUGCAAAAAUUAAUCAUAAGAAAGGAAUGGAUACACUAAUAUCAAAGUAGACUUUAGAUAAGGAACAUUACCAGCGAUAAACAGAGACAUUUCAUAAUGAUAAAGACAUCAAUUAAUCAAGGAGAUCUAACAGUCCUAAAUGUGAACACACCUAAGGACACAA